rnacentral:rRNA from 1 species
AGCGAACGGACGAGAAGCUUGCUUCUCUGAUGUUAGCGGCGGACGGGUGAGUAACACGUGGAUAACCUACCUAUAAGACUGGGAUAACUUCGGGAAACCGGAGCUAAUACCGGAUAAUAUUUUGAACCGCAUGGUUCAAAAGUGAAAGACGGUCUUGCUGUCACUUAUAGAUGGAUCCGCGCUGCAUUAGCUAGUUGGUAAGGUAACGGCUUACCAAGGCAACGAUGCAUAGCCGACCUGAGAGGGUGAUCGGCCACACUGGAACUGAGACACGGUCCAGACUCCUACGGGAGGCAGCAGUAGGGAAUCUUCCGCAAUGGGCGAAAGCCUGACGGAGCAACGCCGCGUGAGUGAUGAAGGUCUUCGGAUCGUAAAACUCUGUUAUUAGGGAAGAACAUAUGUGUAAGUAACUGUGCACAUCUUGACGGUACCUAAUCAGAAAGCCACGGCUAACUACGUGCCAGCAGCCGCGGUAAUACGUAGGUGGCAAGCGUUAUCCGGAAUUAUUGGGCGUAAAGCGCGCGUAGGCGGUUUUUUAAGUCUGAUGUGAAAGCCCACGGCUCAACCGUGGAGGGUCAUUGGAAACUGGAAAACUUGAGUGCAGAAGAGGAAAGUGGAAUUCCAUGUGUAGCGGUGAAAUGCGCAGAGAUAUGGAGGAACACCAGUGGCGAAGGCGACUUUCUGGUCUGUAACUGACGCUGAUGUGCGAAAGCGUGGGGAUCAAACAGGAUUAGAUACCCUGGUAGUCCACGCCGUAAACGAUGAGUGCUAAGUGUUAGGGGGUUUCCGCCCCUUAGUGCUGCAGCUAACGCAUUAAGCACUCCGCCUGGGGAGUACGACCGCAAGGUUGAAACUCAAAGGAAUUGACGGGGACCCGCACAAGCGGUGGAGCAUGUGGUUUAAUUCGAAGCAACGCGAAGAACCUUACCAAAUCUUGACAUCCUUUGACAACUCUAGAGAUAGAGCCUUCCCCUUCGGGGGACAAAGUGACAGGUGGUGCAUGGUUGUCGUCAGCUCGUGUCGUGAGAUGUUGGGUUAAGUCCCGCAACGAGCGCAACCCUUAAGCUUAGUUGCCAUCAUUAAGUUGGGCACUCUAAGUUGACUGCCGGUGACAAACCGGAGGAAGGUGGGGAUGACGUCAAAUCAUCAUGCCCCUUAUGAUUUGGGCUACACACGUGCUACAAUGGACAAUACAAAGGGCAGCGAAACCGCGAGGUCAAGCAAAUCCCAUAAAGUUGUUCUCAGUUCGGAUUGUAGUCUGCAACUCGACUACAUGAAGCUGGAAUCGCUAGUAAUCGUAGAUCAGCAUGCUACGGUGAAUACGUUCCCGGGUCUUGUACACACCGCCCGUCACACCACGAGAGUUUGUAACACCCGAAGCCGGUGGAGUAACCUUUUAGGAGCUAGCCGUCGAAGGUGGGACAAAUGAUUGGGGUGAAGUCGUAACAAGGUAGCCGUAUCGGAAGGUGCGGCUGGAUCACCUCCUUU